GGCCUUACGAGUAGGGCUACACACGUGCUACAAUGGCGUAUACAAAGAGAAGCGACCUCGCGAGAGCAAGCGGACCUCAUAAAGUACGUCGUAGUCCGGAUUGGAGUCUGCAACUCGACUCCAUGAAGUCGGAAUCGCUAGUAAUCGUAGAUCAGAAUGCUACGGUGAAUACGUUCCCGGGCCUUGUACACACCGCCCGUCACACCAUGGGAGUGGGUUGCAAAAGAAGUAGGUAGCUUAACCUUCGGGAGGGCGCUUACCACUUUGUGAUUCAUGACUGGGGUGAAGUCGUAACAAGGUAACCGUAGGGGAACCUGCGGUUGGAUCACCUCC
rnacentral:rRNA from 1 species